GAAAAGGAUAGAAAAUGCGACGGGAGUGGCACGGUUCUAAUUUUUAUAAAAUUUUAAUGGCACAAUUACAAAUAGGUGAAUUGUAAUGGUAUUUUUUUAAUAGCUAAAGUUGCAGUGGCAUGGAUCAAAUUAACCCAAAAUAAUUAGUAUGUAUUUAUAAUAUAAGUUCUUAAAUUACAUAUGAUAUGAAAUUACACUGAUUUACAUAUGCAAUUAUAUUAGAUUUUAACUAAAAAUCUGACGCCAUAUUUUUGAUAGAUCCAAAAUAAAUUGGCAUGGUCGGAUAAAAGACCGCGCACCGAUUUUAGGUGUGGAUAAAAUUUGCGAACAUGUUUAAGAAUCUGUUAGAGGCCUCAUUUUGAUCAAAUUUCCAAUAUAUAUCUUUUAGAAAUUUGUUUG
rnacentral:sRNA from 1 species